rnacentral:rRNA from 1 species
AGAGUUUGAUCAUGGCUCAGGACGAACGCUGGCGGCGUGCUUAACACAUGCAAGUCGAACGAGAAUCUACUGAAAGAGUUUUCGGACAACGGAUGUAGAGGAAAGUGGCGGACGGGUGAGUAACGCGUGAGGAACCUGCCUUGAAGAGGGGGACAACAGUUGGAAACGACCGCUAAUACCGCAUGAUGCAUAGGGGUCGCAUGAUCUUUAUGCCAAAGAUUUAUCGCUUCAAGAUGGCCUCGCG